AACAGUUGGCACACGGCGGCCUCCCCUUCCGGCAUGCACGCCGGCGUUCGCCAGGGGCCGGCAGAGGCAUCGGGCGCCUAGGAACUUGCUCCUCCUCCCUGCCGUGUUUUUACCAUUCUACGCUUUACUCUUUACAGUCCUCUUCACCCGAUCCCAACUGUAACUCCGGCCACCCCCUUGCGAUAUAAAAGGAGGAAUCCAGGGCUGGAGGGGGGAUCGGCUUCUUCUCCCACAAGCCACUGCACACAACGACUCUCCUUGAGAGCACGAGCACCC
rnacentral:lncRNA from 1 species